rnacentral:tRNA from 1 species
GGGAUUGUGGCUCAGUGGUAGAGUACUUGCUUAAAAUGCAUGAAUCACUGAGUUCAAUCCUCAGCAUCACA